UUAAGAUGAGAGUUUGAUCCUGGCUCAGGACGAACGCUGGCGGCGUGCCUAAUACAUGCAAGUCGAACGCGUCUCCGUUGAUGAUUUUAGGUGCUUGCACCUGAAAGAUUUAACAUUGAGACGAGUGGCGAACUGGUGAGUAACACGUGGGUAACCUGCCCUUGAAGUAGGGGAUAACACUUGGAAACAGGUGCUAAUACCGUAUAACAACCAAAACCACCUGGUUUUGGUUUAAAAGACGGCUUCGGCUGUCACUUUAGGAUGGACCCGCGGCGUAUUAGCUUGUUGGUAAGGUAACGGCCUACCAAGGCGAUGAUACGUAGCCGACCUGAGAGGGUAAUCGGCCACAUUGGGACUGAGACACGGCCCAAACUCCUACGGGAGGCAGCAGUAGGGAAUCUUCCACAAUGGACGAAAGUCUGAUGGAGCAACGCCGCGUGAGUGAUGAAGGGUUUCGGCUCGUAAAACUCUGUUGUUGGAGAAGAACAGGUGUCAGAGCAACUGUUGACAUCUUGACGGUAUCCAACCAGAAAGCCACGGCUAACUACGUGCCAGCAGCCGCGGUAAUACGUAGGUGGCAAGCGUUGUCCGGAUUUAUUGGGCGUAAAGCGAGCGCAGGCGGUUUUUUAGGUCUGAUGUGAAAGCCUUCGGCUUAACCGGAGAAGUGCAUCGGAAACCGGGAGGCUUGAGUGCAGAAGAGGACAGUGGAACUCCAUGUGUAGCGGUGAAAUGCGUAGAUAUAUGGAAGAACACCAGUGGCGAAGGCGGCUGUCUGGUCUGUAACUGACGCUGAGGCUCGAAAGCAUGGGUAGCGAACAGGAUUAGAUACCCUGGUAGUCC
rnacentral:rRNA from 1 species